rnacentral:rRNA from 1 species
UACGUAGGGUGCGAGCGUUAAUCGGAAUUACUGGGCGUAAAGCGUGCGCAGGCGGUAAGUUAAGUCUGAUGUGAAAGCCCCGAGCUCAACUUGGGAAUUGCAGUGGAUACUGGCGAGCUAGAGUGCGGUAGAGGAAGGUGGAAUUCCCGGUGUAGCGGUGAAAUGCGCAGAUAUCAGGAGGAACACCGGUGGCGAAGGCGGCGAUCUGGACGAUGACUGACGCUGAGACGCGAAAGCGUGGGGAGCAAACAGG